AUUGAACGCUGGCGGAAUGCUUUACACAUGCAAGUCGAACGGCAGCACGGGGCAACCUGGUGGCGAGUGGCGAACGGGUGAGUAAUAUAUCGGAACGUGCCCAAUCGUGGGGGAUAACGUAGCGAAAGUUACGCUAAUACCGCAUACGAUCUACGGAUGAAAGCGGGGGAUCGCAAGACCUCGCGCGAAUGGAGCGGCCGAUAUCAGAUUAGGUAGUUGGUGGGGUAAAGGCUCACCAAGCCAACGAUCUGUAGCUGGUCUGAGAGGACGACCAGCCACACUGGAACUGAGACACGGUCCAGACUCCUACGGGAGGCAGCAGUGGGGAAUUUUGGACAAUGGGCGCAAGCCUGAUCCAGCCAUUCCGCGUGCAGGAUGAAGGCCUUCGGUUGUAAACUGCUUUGUACGGUAACGAAACGGUACUG
rnacentral:rRNA from 1 species